UUAACAGAAAUAUCUCUCAUUAGAAUGACAGUUAAUGGGAGGUAUGAAGUUUAACAGAAAUAUGUCUCAUUAGAAUGACAGCCGAUGGGAGGUAUGAAGUUUAACAGAAAUUUCUCUCAUUAGAAUGACAGCCGAUGGGAGGUAUGAAGUAAUUGGAGUUUAACAGAAAUAUCUCUCAUUAGAAUGACAGCCGAUGGGAGGUAUGAAGUAAUUGGAGUUUAACAGAAAUAUCUCUCAUUAGAAUGACAGCCGAUGGGAGGUAUGAAGUAAUUGGAGUUUAACAGAAAUAUCUCUCAUUAGAAUGACAGCCGAUGGGAGGUAUGAAGUAAUUGGAGUUUAACAGAAAUAUCUCUCAUUAGAAUGACAGCCGAUGGGAGGUAUGAAGUUUAACAGAAAUAUCUCUCAUUAGAAUGACAGCCAAUGGGAGGUAUGAAGUUUAACAGAAAUUUCUCUCAUUAGAAUGACAGCCGAUGGGAGGUAUGAAGUAAUUUGAGUUGAACAGAAAUAUCUCUCAUUAGAAUGACAGUUGAUGGGAGGU